AGAUGAAGUAUUUUGUCCCUGUAUAGAGGUCAGAAAACAUUUUUUCCAUACACCCAAUCCAAAAGACCCCUUUAUCUUCUUCCGUAAAAUCUCCCCUCUUCAACCUAAUUUAGCUCUCCAUCCCAGCUAUACGAUCCAGUCAAGAUAACCUUCUAACCUCGUUUUCUCUGGUAUCACUUACACUGAUUAUCUUUUUCUCCCGCAUCAGAUUUGGGGAAAAUCUAAACCCUAAUUUCAGUAUGCCUCCGUUGGAGCUAUUCAUCCAUCUCUAAUUUAGAUCUGAUGUUGAUUUCGCCGUUCACUUCAGAAUUCCUAACAACAAUUACAUUGACUUUGAGUAGUUUUCCUCUGGAGGAAUAACUAGUCUUGCAAAUAUGAUUUGGUCAAAAGAUCCUGCUUUGGAACCUUGUAGUAAGAAGAGAUCCCAUCACGUACAUCAACAUCAAAUGCACAAAGUUCACACACUAAUGAAUUCUUGUGUCGUAAGUCCCCAGAGAAAGAGGAAAUUAGACCAAUAUAUGAAUAAUGUUUAUGCAAUUGUUGCAUUACAUUUGAGUGAUCAAUGAGGCCAACGUCUUAUCUUCAUAUUUAGAAGGAACUGUGGAUAGGGGCACGCGGCUUAUCUUUUUCUUGACAAUUUCUCCUUCAUUUUGGAAAAGCCUUCAAGAUGUAAAUGGUUCAUGUGCACUCAUCAAGGUGUACUUGGGUACACACCCAACGUAAUAAGGGGGAUAAAAGAAGAAAAGAAGUGGGAUUUUUUCCCUUAGUCUUCUCCUCAAGGUGUUGGGUGAUACCAAUUAGUUUAGAUUACUCUCUUUUUCCUUUGAGCUUGUAAUCUUUUUUCUCUUUGUAAUUGGGUUGAAGUACCCUUGUACUUCUAAUUCAAUAAUAUACCAUUGCUUAUAAAAAAAAGUGGGAUAAAAGAAGAAAAGUGACAAGUGAUAACUAUCAUCUGAUGCGAAGUGAAUGUAAUGAUCAACAAUCUCCCACUUGAAGACCAAUAUCAAUUUAUCUUCAAAGAUUGACAAAUAUAGGAUCAUAUGUGGUAUAUUAUUCAAUGGCAUGGUUUUACUGAAUUUGGCUGGUUGUGGCACUUUGGAUGGGAUAAGCAUUUGAAAUGCAUGCAUUAUGGUUGCUGAUGCAUUGCUGUAUGGUGACUAUGGUUAAGGUUUUAUUGUGAAAUUCUUUUUGAGUGGUUCCCAUGCUUUCCUAGAGAUUGUGGCACUCUUUUUCCUUCAUUGGUUUUUUCCCAUUGGGUUUUUUCCUUUGAAGGUUUUAAUGAGGCUCAAUCUUUAGGUGCGCUUGAUAGCAUGAGAUCGGUUAGGAAGCCGGUGAGUGGGCAUGUCUUGAUUUACCCUAUGAGAGGGUUGUUCUAAUAUGCUUUGUACUUAUGUCUUUUUUCAAUCCAAUAAAGUUUCUUUUGUUAUAAAAAAAAAGUGUGUAUGUUAUUCUAGCAGACAGAGUCGUGUAUAGACAUUUUGAGAUUUAAAACGAAAAUGUUAAAAUGACUUUUUUGACAAAAAUCUUAAAAGGGUCUAAGAGACUCUAACUAUUUUUUAUAUUAAUCUUCUAACUUUUUGAGCUGCUAAGUUAUUUAUAAAGUUUUAUAAUUAA